UACAGAGGGUGCGAGCGUUAAUCGGAAUUACUGGGCGUAAAGCGCGCGUAGGCGGCUUUGCAAGUCGGGUGUGAAAUCCCCAGGCUUAACCUGGGAACUGCAUUCGAGACUGCAUUGCUAGAGUAUGGGAGAGGGAAGUGGAAUUUCCGGUGUAGCGGUGAAAUGCGUAGAUAUCGGAAGGAACGUCAGUGGCGAAAGCGACUUCCUGGACCAAUACUGACGCUCAUGUGCGAAAACGUGGGGAGCAAACAGG
rnacentral:rRNA from 1 species